UAAGUAUUGAAGUUAAAAAAAAUUCUCAGUGACCCGUGAGCAAAUUUCAUCUAGUCUAGUCAAAUUAAUUCAACAAAUAUUUAAUAAAUGCCUACUAUGUGGCAGGUAUUUUGCCAAGAGCUGAGGAUGAAAAAGACCAAGUGGGGGGAAAAGCCCCUAAUUUACAGGACUGUACAUUCUAUUGAGGGAAAUAGGAUAUAUAUAAAAAAUUAAAUACAAAAUAUAUACAGAGUAAUUUCCAGGAGUAGAAUUCUAUGGGUAGAAGGAAGGGUAAUAAAUAAAUAUAUACUCCCUGCAGGGCUAAAAGAAGAGGUGAAGUGUCAUUUAUGGGGAAUAGCAAGAAGACUAGUUUGGGGAGAACAUAGGUUGCAUGAAGGAGAAUAAUGAUCAGUGAGUCUAGAAAGGUAGUAUAAAACCAGAUUGUGAACAGUUUUAAAAAACCAAAAAAGUUUGUGUUUUAUCCUGGAAGCAACAAGCAAGCACUAGAGUUUUUUGAUCAGAAAAAUGAAAUGAUUAGACUUGUGAUUUAGGAACAUGUUGUCUUUUUGUUGUUGCUAUCCACUUCCCCCUCACGUUCUCUGCCACAAAAAUGCCCUUGUAUAAUAAAAAAUAGUUAUGCAAACUUAACCAACACAAUGAACAUAUCUGAUUAUACUUCCCAUCUCUACCAAAGGUAGGGAAGUAUAUUUCAUCAUUGUCUUUCUGAACCUAGCCAUCUUAAUUCUGAAUCCUUAUGUUGUUUUCAAUUAUAUAUUUCCUAUUAUUAGUGGAAGAUUGUACUCCUGAUUCUGCUUUCUUUGUUCUUCUUCAAAUGAUAUGAGUCUUCCCAUGUUUGACUUUGUUAUUUUUUUAUCUACCUCUAUAAAAUAACUCUUUGGUGUUUUGAUUGGUAUAGCACUAAACUUGUAGUUUAAUUUGAACAGUAUUGUCUUUUUUAUAUUGGUGUGAUUUAGCAAUAAAUAUUUAAAAGGUUUCUUUUAAGUUUUCCUUUAUUUCUAUAGAGUGUUUGGUAGGGUUGUGGGGAUUUUUUGUUUUGUUUUUGUUGUUUUUUAGUAUAAGACCUGAAUUUGUAAUUGAUGAUUAACUUCCAGGUAUUUUAAACAUUUUUAAACUUAUUUUGAAUACAAUUUAUUGUGUUUCAUUGAUUUUUGAUAGUCCUAUAUAUAAAUACUAAUGGGUUUUUUUGGAAAUGAGUUGUUAUUUUAUGGAUGCUUUUAAUUAUGUUAAUUUUUAUACUGAUUGUGCGUAUUUUAAAAAUAAACUUGAUCAUAUCAUCUGUAAAUAAGGAUCAUUUUAUUUCUUCUUUGCUAGUGCUUAGAUAUUUAAUGUCAAAUCUUAUUGCUAUAGAUAUUAUGCCAAACAAUUAUGGGGUCAAGAGACAGCUCUGGUUUAUUCUUUUAUUUCACAUAAAGUUUCUAAUAUGUCUCUUUUGCAAAUGAUACUAGUUCUUGGUUUUAAAUGUGUACCAUUGAUUUUAUUAAAGAAAGAUUAUUCACUGUUAAUUUUUUUGCUUUAAUUCUUAGAAGACUCCAUGACAUUAAGUGGAAUAAAUAAUUGUAUAUGUAGAGUGAUUCAUACAAUGAAGCUAUUGCAGGAUUUGUUCUCUUCAUAUUUGGAGUUCUUAUUAUUUUUGAGUUAUGGGAAGGAACUAAGAAGACAGGCAAAUAAACUAUUACACUAAGAACAGAUGUGUCAGCACUGAAACAAUCUACCAAUGAGAUUUCAAUGGCUGACUUGUAACCCAAAGUAAUCAAAAACAGAAAGGCCCCAUGUACACCAAGCAACACUGUAUGGUAGUAAAGAACUGGAGAUCAAGUGCAUUCUCAUCACAAGAGGUCAAGGUUGGGGGGCAACAGCUGUACUGUAACUGAAGACCACCUCAUGGCACCAGAAUAGCAGCAUAGUUACUGGGUGGAGAAUGGUACAACCCAGACACUUCACAGAAGGCAGUCUGGCAAUGCAGCUGAGGAUCCCAGCUCAAUAGAGCCGGCAAUUUGCAUGAUGGGAGAGAUAUCACAAAGACAACUGUUGGCUCUGUGGUUGUAGAUGUCAGUUAUUCCAGUCAGGUAAGUAUUCUGGUCACAGAUGUUCCCUAAGUAUGUGAAUAAAUGAAAAAAGCCUCUCAUAAGCACUUACUUUGUACUGAUAACUGAGCUAAAUUCUGGGGAUACAAAUAACAUAGGAUAGCAAGGCAGUGCUUGCUCUCAAGGAGUUUAUAUUCUAAAUGGGGAAGACAACAUAGGUAUCUGGGUUUAACUGAAAGGUGUACAGAAGAGUCCUGUGGUUCUAAGGAUGCCGUGUAAAAGCAUCCUAAUAGGGUGCAUUUGCAUGUGAGAAUGCAUUGCCUAGGGAUCUGGAGGAUAUAGUGACAGGAUGAACAGCCAAGUGGACUUUAGGGUUAGUGACAGGACAAAGGAUAAAUCUUCAUGGUCCUUCAUCAUACUGGAAAUUGUAUAUUUGAUGACUACUUGUUCCUCUCUGUGACAUGCUUGGCCAUGUCUGCCCAUGGCCCUCCAUAGCCAUGAAGGAUACUAGUUUACCAUUGAUGAGAAGGGGAAGCAUGAGUUUCAGAAUUAUAGUAGAGAAGGAACUCGGGAUUCUCACCUGCAUGAGUGGAGAUGGGAGAGGGGUUAGCAUCCAGUGAGGAGGUAGAAAGGGUUAAGGAGCAGAGAAAGGCAAGAAGAUUCCUCUAAGAAGGGGAAAAGAUUUUGUGUCUUCUUAUGACCCCAUGUAUUGCCUGGAUAUAUUCAACUAUUGAUAUGGUCAUUUAUGUCAGGGUAAACACCUUUGUCUAUAGAGGAUCUUUCUUGUUACUUAUUUUGCUAACCUAGUUAAAUGUCUUACAUUGUUUCAUUGGUAAGAGGAAGCCAGUAAAGGUUUGUAAUCUUCUGUAAAAACUUGGUCAAGGAAUAUAACUAACUGUUAUGUUCCAUUAUGAUAGAGAAAUGUUAUUAUUUUGUACCUGCAUAAUUCAAUAUGUAAGUAUAUAUGAAAACAACAGUUAUAUUGUCAUGUUGGAAUGUAACUAUUUAUUCUCACUUUCAAUAAUAAAAGAAAUCUAUUUUUUGCAGUUCAUAUCCUAUAUAUAUUCUGUAUUCUUUAUAAGAUAUUUCUUUUAAUCCCAACUUCUCAAAUAUACUUCAUGUAGUUUAAGUAUUAAAGAACUCAAUAGCAAUAUAUUAUAUUUUGAUAUUUUAUGAUGGAAUAGUAUUUUUAUAGUCCUUUAAAUAGUAACAUUUAUAUAAAUGCUUUCUUCACCUCAAUAUUGUUAUAUGGACAAGAUGUCAUACCAUUCCCAUUUUAUGGAUAAAGAAAUGGAGAAUUUAAUUGACUUUUCCAAGACUAUAUAACUAGCGAAUAUUCAAAACCACAUCCUUCGACUCCACAGCUAAUGCCUUUCCUCUCUACUACUCUGCUUUCUAUCAGUCAAUAAAAAUACUAAUUAUAGUCUUUUUAUUUUAGCACGCAUAUAUCCUUUGAUAUAUAUGAAAUACUGGAUCUUUUGAAAACAAGGUGAUUUCUGGGUAAAAAGGAAUGUUGGUUAACAUGACUAUAGUUGUACUCUCUUCUUUUCCCUUCUAAAUUUAAAAUAUAAAAUGCUGACAACUUUAUCACACAUUCACUGGGAAGCUAGAAAGAUUUUUGUAUUCCAAUGAUUGAAGUACAAUGUCAUAAUUAAAUCAUUACACCUUUCCUCAAACCAUUUAACGUUUAGAAUUCCCUAGAAUUCUGAAGCUUUUUGCUUUCCUAAAAUGCUUCUUUGCUGGAAAAUAAUAGCUAGUAUGUACACAGGCAGCACUUUCAGGUUUUCAUAUUGCUUUAAAAUAUUCUCUUUUAUUCUCACAACAAUCCAGGCAA